rnacentral:lncRNA from 1 species
GUGUUUCGUCUGAUGAACGACAUAACCACGUUCGAGGAAGAAUUGGAGAGAGGAGAGGUGGCCAAUGGAGUCAACUGUUACAUGAAGCAACAUGGUGUUAGUCAAGAAGAAGCGGUUAGAGAAUUGAAGAUGAUGAUUAAGGAUCACCAUGAGAUCAUGAUGGAUGAGUUCUUUAGUGCCUCAUCUACUGUGCCACGCCAGGUUCUAGUGCGAGUCUUCAAUAUUGCACGUGUGGUCGUUUUGUUUUACAAGGAUGGUGAUGGAUUUGGUCAUCCAGAUGAAACUCUCAAAGCCCAC